rnacentral:rRNA from 1 species
AUUGAACGCUGGCGGCAGGCCUAACACAUGCAAGUCGAGCGGAUGAAGGGAGCUUGCUCCUGGAUUCAGCGGAGGACGGGUGAGUAAUGCCUAGGAAUCUGCCUGGUAGUGGGGGAUAACGUCCGGAAACGGGCGCUAAUACCGCAUACGUCCUGAGGGAGAAAGUGGGGGAUCUUCGGACCUCACGCUAUCAGAUGAGCCUAGGUCGGAUUAGCUAGUUGGUGGGGUAAAGGCCUACCAAGGCGACGAUCCGUAACUGCUCUGAGAGGAUGAUCAGUCACACUGGAACUGAGACACGGUCCAGACUCCUACGGGAGGCAGCAGUGGGGAAUAUUGGACAAUGGGCGAAAGCCUGAUCCAGCCAUGCCGCGUGUGUGAAGAAGGUCUUCGGAUUGUAAAGCACUUUAAGUUGGGAGGAAGGGCAGUAAGUUAAUACCUUGCUGUUUUGACGUUACCAACAGAAUGAGCACCGGCUAACUUCGUG